GAUAAACGCUGGCGGCGCACAUAAGACAUGCAAGUCGAACGGACUUAACCAUUAGUUUACUAUUGGAGCGGUUAGUGGCGGACUGGUGAGUAACACGUAAGCAACCUGCCUAUCAGAGGGGAACAACAGUUAGAAAUGACUGCUAAUACCGCAUAUGCCUAAGUACCACAUGGUACAAUAGGGAAAGGAGCAAUCCGCUGAUAGAUGGGCUUGCGUCUGAUUAGAUAGUUGGUGGGGUAACGGCCUACCAAGUCGACGAUCAGUAGCCGGACUGAGAGGUUGAUCGGCCACAUUGGGACUGAGACACGGCCCAGACUCCUACGGGAGGCAGCAGUGGGGAAUAUUGCACAAUGGGGGAAACCCUGAUGCAGCGACGCCGCGUGAGGGAGAAGGUAUUCGUAUUGUAAACCUCUGUCUUCGGGGACGAUAAUGACGGUACCCGAGGAGGAAGCACGGCUAACUACGUG
rnacentral:rRNA from 1 species